AUCCUUCUGUGGUUCCUAAGCGUGAUGGUUGGGUUUUCACGCUAUUGUGUGCAAUGUUCCUCCCUCAACACUUGUUAUUAUAACAAUAACAAUGUCAGCACAUUACCCCUUUGACA
rnacentral:snoRNA from 1 species